UACGUAGGGGGCAAGCGUUAUCCGGAUUUACUGGGUGUAAAGGGGGCGCAGACGGCGAUGCAAGCCAGGAGUGAAAGCCCGGGGCCCAACCCCGGGACUGCUCUUGGAACUGCGUGGCUGGAGUGCAGGAGGGGCAGGCGGAAUUCCUGGUGUAGCGGUGAAAUGCGUUGAUAUCAGGAGGAACACUGGUGGCGAAGGCGGCCUGCUGGACUGCAACUGUCGUUGAGGCCCGAAAGCGUGGGGAGCAAACAGG
rnacentral:rRNA from 1 species